rnacentral:rRNA from 1 species
AGCAGCCGCGGUAAUUCCAGCUCCAAUAGCGUAUAUUAAAGUUGUUGCAGUUAAAAAGCUCGUAGUUGAAUUUCGAGAUCAGUACGCUGGUCGUGCCUUCGGUAUGCACUGGUGUCACUGGUUUCUCCCUUCUGAAGAACCGUUAUGUCAUUAAGUUGGUGUGGCGGGGAAUCAGGACUGUUACUUUGAAAAAUUAGAGUGUUUAAAGCAGGCUCGCGCUUGAAUACAUUAGCAUGGAAUAAUGAAAUAGGACGUUUGACCCUAUUUUGUUGGUUUCUAGGAUCGACGUAAUGAUUAAUAGGGAUAGUUGGGGGCAUUAGUAUUCAAUUGUCAGAGGUGAAAUUCUUGGAUUUAUUGAAGACUAACUACUGCGAAAGCAUUUGCCAAGGAUGUUUUCAUUAAUCAAGAACGAAAGUUAGGGGAUCGAAGACGAUCAGAUACCGUCGUAGUCUUAACCAUAAACUAUGCCGACUAGGGAUCGGAUGAUGUUAAUUUUUAAUGUACCCA